rnacentral:rRNA from 1 species
UACGAAGGGGGCUAGCGUUGUUCGGAAUUACUGGGCGUAAAGCGCACGUAGGCGGAAUGUUUAGUCAGGGGUGAAAUCCCGGGGCUCAACCCCGGAACUGCCUUUGAUACUGGCAUUCUCGAGUCCGGAAGAGGUGAGUGGAAUUCCGAGUGUAGAGGUGAAAUUCGUAGAUAUUCGGAGGAACACCAGUGGCGAAGGCGGCUCACUGGUCCGGUACUGACGCUGAGGUGCGAAAGCGUGGGGAGCAAACAGG